AAAGUAUAUGACACCUGCAUUGAAAUAUUAUCAAAUUCACUGCCCGAUAGGGAUCUGCCUAUUAUUGCGGUAGUUUCUCCUGAGCUCCAGUUAAUCAGCCGCAGGGAUUGGCCACUUGUAUCCCAUGGCGUUGGCAUUUCACUUUGACCUGGGCCAAUCAGCCCCAAAGGAAAAACUUCACUAGUCGAAUGGUUGCAGUCUCACAGGCUGCACACAUCUUAAAACUUACACCUGUUGGGGAUGAUUAAAGAGAGAGCUACUUUACCACCAAGAG